GUCUACAGCCAUGCCACCCUGAGCAAAUGCAAUCCCAUCUGAUCUCGGAAGCUAAGCAGGGUCAGGUCCGGUUAGUACUUAGAUGGGAGACCACCUAGGAAGACUAGGUGCUGUAGGCG
rnacentral:rRNA from 1 species